rnacentral:lncRNA from 1 species
ACUAUUCAUCAUACACACACACUGGGCAACCCAAGUGUUCGACACUGUAUUCAAUGGCUCACGACAACAGCAAGAAUAACCGCCGCUACACACGGCAACAGAAUCGAUCUCGGGUGUCUUACAAGACACAAAAGAGCGCAGAUACUAUGAUAAUGUUUAUAUACGUUUCCACACCAGGCAAAGCUGUAUUAUUUCGGGGAUGCACAAACAGUUGAUAAAACUGUGAGAAAAGAAAAAGGCAAGCGAGUGCAUGCUGCACAACCAGGAAAGGGGAACUGCGGGGGAGGCCAGAGGGGCGAGCGGGGCUGCGCCGGGCCGGUGAGGCGCCCCGUCUGCACCCGACAAGCCCCGUGUUGUUUCUGGAUAUUCCACCGCAUACUUGGCUGCGCGUCCUUCUGUACACACAGCACAUUCUCGAAGCUUACAAAGGUCGAGAACAUUGCUGACGUGGCCCAUGACCGGCUCGUGUGUUCAUCCGGCAGACGCGGAGCACAGCUACAUGCUGAGCAUGCUAUGCAGGACCUGCUUGCCAGCGAGCCCGUGAAAAUCCAGUCCAAGGAACAGGAACAGCUAUCACACAUGGCAAAAAGGCGAGAAAGGCCAUGAGAAACAUAUCAGAAGCAAAGCAGCCCAUGAUAGAUGCCGUGCUGAGGCUCCUCUCCCUAGGCAGCACUGCAUCAGGAAUAAUCCCACACUCAGCAUCCUUGGAAUGAGAAGUAUAAAGAGGAGGAGAAGUUCAUCUCAGAACUUCAAAAAGACCUGCGCUGAAAUCCUCGACUCUACUGCGCUAUGCAGGAGGAGUCUUAGACCCACUUGAUUGAUGAAAACACUCAGACUCAGACCAGGAGCAGACAGGUAGAGAGCCGUGGAACCAGCUUGGAGAAAGGUCAGUGGGACUCCAAAUCCCAUUCUCUUAGAUAAAAACUAUGUUGCCUCUUCAAUUCUUCAAGUCCAUCAAAGUUGUCUGACUCCACAUAAGGAGGGACUUUAAACCAAUGAGAAACUGCCAGAAAGGCUGCACUCAAAACUAAGCAAGAGCAGUGUAGAAACCGGGCACCAAAGCUGUCCCAGCGCUAGAUGCAGCUCCUGGCUCGCCGCUUAACACCCAAAGAAUUUGGUAAGGUUGGCUGUGCUCUCCAAAUAGCCUCAGUUUACUCAACUGUAACAAAAUAAGCCUGCUAGGGCCUUUGUCAGGAUUAGGGAAAUUAAUCCACCUUUUAAAAUGUUUGCAAAUUAUAAAGAGAUACAAAGUACAGAGCGAGACAGCUCCCACACCCAUGCCUCCCUCCGCCUCCCAGCCCUGGGGCUCUAACCCCUCCACAGCAGUGCACGCCUCCCUCCGCCUCCCAGCCCUGGGGCUCUAACCCCUCCACAGCAGUGCACGCCUCCCUCCGCCUCCCAGCCCUGGGGCUCUAACCCCUCCUCAGCAGUGCCGCUUGCUUCACCACAUUCUCCCCUGCCUUGACUCUCCCCUGCACUGGCUCCUUCUCAAAGAAAACAUUGUUUUACUGUGGCCUCCUUCAGUCACCAGCCCACCUUGCUCCUCCUACACCCCCCAUGGUGUGUGACCACCACCUCCCCUUCCCUUUGCCUUCUUAACAAUUAUUCCGCAGCAAUCCAGCUUCUACCAAGCUCCUUAUUCCACCAAACCUCACAAAGUCAUUGAUGGCAUUGGCGCAGUCAUCCAACAGUUACAAAAAGACUCUCCCAUGUAAGAGACACUUCCUAGUAUUAUCUGUACAAGUCUCAAGGGUAAGGACUGUAGGUGUUUUUCUACAAAACUUUCAAGAUAACAUGCGUUCCAGGUAUUGGCAAGCAUGUGGAGGAACUGGGACUCUCACACAAAGCUAGAAAUCCUUCUACCAUAAAGACACGCAUGCUUAUGUUCACUGCAGCACUACUCACAAUAGCAAAGACAUGGAAUCAA